rnacentral:rRNA from 1 species
UACAGAGGGUGCGAGCGUUAAUCGGAAUUACUGGGCGUAAAGGGCUUGUAGGUGGCCAACUAAGUCAGACGUGAAAUCCCUCGGCUUAACCGGGGAACUGCGUCUGAUACUGGAUGGCUUGAGUGUGGGAGAGGGAUGCGGAAUUCCAGGUGUAGCGGUGAAAUGCGUAGAUAUCUGGAGGAACACCGGUGGCGAAGGCGGCAUCCUGGACCAUUACUGACACUGAAAAGCGAAAGCCAGGGGAGCAAACGGG